UACGUAGGGUGCAAGCGUUGCUCGGAAUUACUGGGCGUAAAGGGGAGGUAGGUGGUCUCGUUUGUCAGAGGUGAAAUCCCUGAGCUUAACUCAGGACGUGCCUUUGAAACGGCGAGACUGGAGUACUGGAGAGGGUCGUGGAAUUCCCGGUGUAGCGGUGAAAUGCGUAGAGAUCGGGAGGAACACCAGAGGCGAAGGCGGCGACCUGGACAGUAACUGACACUAAACUCCGAAAGCGUGGGGAGCAAAC
rnacentral:rRNA from 1 species